rnacentral:ncRNA from 1 species
GAGCCACACUUGAACCGUCCCCUUCAUGGGGCGCGUGUCCGCAAGGACUAGAGUGUGGCUAUCUU